UCACUGGGAUCACACCAUUUGGAUACAGGGAUCACUGGGAUCAGUUACUGGGAUCACUGGGGUCACUUGGAUCACUGGGAUCAGGUACCAGGAUCACUGGGAUCAUGGGAAUCAGUUACUGGGAUCACUGGGAUCACACAGCUUGGAUACUGGGAUCACUGGGAUCAGUUACUGGGAUCACUGGGAUCAGUUACUGGGAUCACUGGGAUCGUGGGCUCCUCCCUCCGGAGCUGCUGCGAUGCUGGACAUCGAUUUCUCUCCGUGUGGCGCCGCCGGAAUUGCAGAUAUUCCAUGGAAAAUAAAAGAUUGCAUUUCGCUG